rnacentral:rRNA from 1 species
GACGUAGGGCGCGAGCGUUGUCCGGAUUUAUUGGGCGUAAAGAGCUCGUAGGCGGUUUGUCGCGUCGGCCGUGAAAACUUGGGGCUUAACUCCAAGCUUGCGGUCGAUACGGGCAGACUUGAGUUCGGCAGGGGAGACUGGAAUUCCUGGUGUAGCGGUGAAAUGCGCAGAUAUCAGGAGGAACACCGGUGGCGAAGGCGGGUCUCUGGGCCGACACUGACGCUGAGGAGCGAAAGCGUGGGGAGCGAACAGG